CACGUAGGGUGCGAGCGUUGUCCGGAAUUAUUGGGCGUAAAGAGCUCGUAGGCGGUGUGUCGCGUCGGCCGUGAAAACCUGCAGCUUAACUGUGGGCUUGCGGUCGAUACGGGCAUCACUGGAGUUCGGCAGGGGAGACUGGAAUUCCUGGUGUAGCGGUGAAAUGCGCAGAUAUCAGGAGGAACACCGGUGGCGAAGGCGGUUCUCUGGGC
rnacentral:rRNA from 1 species